rnacentral:misc_RNA from 1 species
UUCGCUUCGUCGCAUGGUUCGAGCCCGACCAUCAUAUCGUGAAACUGGCUGCACCAUUCUUCGAGCGCCGUUUCGCCGAUAUGGCGUGGUCGAUUCUCACGCCGGAUCGCUGCGCGCACACUGGGACGGGUGCAAGACGAUCUUCACACCUGGCGCGUUGAAAUCAGACGCGCCCUCCAGUGAUCCGCUCGAAGACAUCUGGCGCACC